ensembl:lncRNA
GGAGGUGCUGGCUACAGUUGUAAGGAAGACUUAUCACUGAAAAGGACAUAGUUGCAUGAGAUGAACUGAGACCAGACUGAAUUGACUCACAGGCGAGUCACCGCAGAGUAAGGAGCACAAUAGGACUGUCCGAGAAAGGCCUGGAUUGGAAUACUAAAAACAUGUUGAACACAUACCCCAUGUGCCUCCACAUCCAGAAAACAGGAGACUGCAUGUAGUGGGGGCUGGGGGUUGGAGGUCUCCCAUAUCUGUACUCAUAGCUGAGAAGUAGGACUUUCGAGCACCAAAUUCAAGCAGUUGUUGUAUCUUCCUUCAUCUGUCUCCUCGUGUCACCAUGUCUACAGUACAAUCUGCAGCAACAGACCACAGUCCAUCAGAAGGAGUUACAUUCAUAAGAGGCACCAAGAGGUAAACAGUAUGUGUCUCAUCCCUUGACAGAAAUCUUCAGAUUUGCUUAACUUCAUGCAUCUGAGAAUUUCCAGUUUAUCUACAAAAUAUUUGAGAAUGACUCCAGGCUGUCCCUGUGCACUGUCAAUGCAGAUUUUGAGACGUUCGUACACACACAGUGCCCAUAUGGGCUGUGCAUGUGCUGAAAUCCUUGAUUUACCGCAUGAAGUGAUUGUCCGUGGUGUGAGGAGAAGAGUCGCGGUACUUGCCCAAUGGAUGCUGUUAAAUACAAGGGCAAACUGGUCUGCCUGGGAAAUCCUGAGCAAAAUAUAGAGCUUUGGGGACUUCUGAUUUGCACGGAGUUAGCAAGUGAAGUAGCCCAUUUCUCACAACACAACUUUUUAUUAUGAUUAAGCACAAAGUAUUAACACAAUUUAUGUAUUUAUUGUGAACAUAAGCACGUAUUAUGUCUUUGUUUCUGGGUUACUGAUGAAAAUUACUGUUCCUGAAUAGUGUGGUUGAAAGAUGAAUGGUGUUCACAGCGUGUCUGUUGAGUAUUUAAGAUAAUCAUGGUAAUGGUUUUAGUCUAACACUAGCACAAAUUAAAGCAUUACCAUGAUAAAUGAAUAGUUGCUGAAUAAAGUGUGACUUCCUCCCAGUAAGUCUGCUGUUUGUUCAUAGUAGAAAAGCUCUAAGUAAAGAAAAUAUAUUAAGUCUGAGAGAAGACGGAUGAAAGCAUUAUCUUAGAUCUCAAACCAGGACUUUCAUACCUAGGAUGGCCUAAAAACUGAACAAAACAAAGCAAAUGAAAACCUAAAGCAACAAAAGAAAGCUAUUUGAUACCAAUCAUCCUGAACAGCAACAUCUGAAAUUAUUACCGUAUGUGUCAUUUUACUCGGUGUUGGUUUGUUAUCUCUGUGAGCACUAGCAUGUCUAAAGACUUUAUCUUCUGUGAAAAUUUGUGGCCUGCACUACACAGUGUGUUAGUUACCAAGACAGCAAGUCUCAGACUUAUACAUUUGUCGUCUUAUUUGUGGCUGUGAUUUCCAAUGUGUUGUGUCCAACUACUGCAUGGUCAUUAAAAACAAAGAAGG